rnacentral:rRNA from 1 species
GAUGAACGCUAGCAGAACGCUUAACACAUGCAAGUCGAACGGAUGUAUUAUCUUCGGAUAAUAUGUUAGUGGCAAACGGGCGAGUAACGCGUAUCUAACCUGCCCUUGUGUGAGGCAAAACCAUGGAGACAUGGCUAAUUCCUCAUACGCUCUAAGAAAUGAAAAUACUUAGAGGAAAGAUUUAUCGCACAAGGAGGGGGAUGCGUCCUAUCAGGUAGUUGGUGAGGUAACGGCUCACCAAGCCUAUGACGGGUAGCCGGUCUGAGAGGAUGUCCGGCCGCAAUGGAACUGAGACACGGUCCAUACUCCUACGGGAGGCAGCAGUGGGGAAUAUUGCACAAUGGACGAAAGUCUGAUGCAGCAACGCCGCGUGGAGGAUGACACAUUUCGGUGCGUAAACUCCUUUUAUAUAGGAAGAUAAUGACGGUACUAUAUGAAUAAGCACCGGCUAACUCCGUGCCAGCAGCCGCGGUAA